rnacentral:rRNA from 1 species
UACGUAGGGUGCGAGCGUUGUCCGGAAUUACUGGGCGUAAAGGGCUCGUAGGUGGCCAACUAAGUCAGACGUGAAAUCCCUCGGCUUAACCGGGGAACUGCGUCUGAUACUGGACGGCUUGAGUUUGGGAGAGGGACGCGGAAUUCCAGGUGUAGCGGUGAAAUGCGUAGAUAUCUGGAGGAACACCGGUGGCGAAGGCGGCGUCCUGGACCAACACUGACACUGAGGAGCGAAAGCCAGGGGAGCAAACGGG